rnacentral:misc_RNA from 1 species
UUAUAAAAAAAUUAUAUAUUUUUAAGAAUAUAUAAUAUACUAUAAAAAAUAAUGUUUUUUUAAUAGAAAAAAUUGAAUUACAAUUAAAAAAAAUAAAUAAUUUAAAAUUAUAUAUUUUUCAUAAAAAUAAUAAUU